AGCAACAGUUAAUGUUAGUUACAUACUGAUAUUCUCAUUGAUAAAUAUUGCCUUCCAUUUAGAACUUCUCAGAUUGACUAAACAUUAAUUCAUAACAUUAUGCAGCAACCUGAUGUUAGAAAAACAUCAAGAAUUUACAAUCUGAGCACGAAAUCAUUCACACGCUGGUUUCGUGUCGAAGCUGCUCAAGCAGAUUGCAAAAGCUUGGAAGGCGGAGAGCGGGUAGCAGUAAUCCAUGGUGAAGAUAUCUUUUCCAAUUUUCCCAAAUUGUAAAAUUGUAGUUUCUUGUACUGCAGCUGGUAUAUUGUGAGAUGGAUCAACUGCUGCCGCAAGCUGAAAGUUUUUCACGGAUGCCACUGUCACGCGGCCUUUGAAAUUUAGGCACCAGCACUGCAAUUGUUCGUGCCAUCGAGGGGCCUUGUUUUUAAGCACAAGUGGCUCUCGAGAAGGCCCAGACACUGAUGAGCUGAUAUUUACAGCUGGCUCCUUGGCUUUAGAGGGCCUCUCAUCAAAAGAUUGUGGGAAUGAUGUAGGCGUUGGAGCACUACCU
rnacentral:misc_RNA from 1 species